CCUACGGGAGGCAGCAGUGGGGAAUUUUGGACAAUGGGCGCAAGCCUGAUCCAGCAAUGCCGCGUGCAGGAUGAAGGCCUUCGGGUUGUAAACUGCUUUUGUACGGAACGAAACGGCUUCUCCUAAUACGAGAGGCUAAUGACGGUACCGUAAGAAUAAGCACCGGCUAACUACGUGCCAGCAGCCGCGGUAAUACGUAGGGUGCAAGCGUUAAUCGGAAUUACUGGGCGUAAAGCGUGCGCAGGCGGUUAUAUAAGACAGAUGUGAAAUCCCCGGGCUCAACCUGGGACCUGCAUUUGUGACUGUAUAGCUAGAGUACGGUAGAGGGGGAUGGAAUUCCGCGUGUAGCAGUGAAAUGCGUAGAUAUGCGGAGGAACACCGAUGGCGAAGGCAAUCCCCUGGACCUGUACUGACGCUCAUGCACGAAAGCGUGGGGAGCAAACAGGAUUAGAUACCCUGGUAGUCCACGCCCUAAACGAUGUCAACUGGUUGUUGGGUCUUCACUGACUCAGUAACGAAGCUAACGCGUGAAGUUGACCGCCUGGGGAGUACGGCCGCAAGGUUGAAACUCAAAUGAAUUGACGG
rnacentral:rRNA from 1 species